CACGUGUCACGAGUUCCCGCAAACAACGGCUAUUGAGUUUGAACAAUGCCAACAAAACGCAAAGGAGCCAAUUUGAGCCGUGAUACAAAUAAAUCUAGAAGCAUUCGAAA